GACAGAGGGUGCAACCGUUGUUCGGAAUUACUGGGCGUAAAGCGCGUGUAGGCGGCUAAGUAAGUCGGGCGUGAAAUCCCACGGCUCAACCGUGGAAGUGCACUCGAAACUGCAUAGCUAGAGUCCUGGAGAGGAAGGUGGAAUGCUUGGUGUAGAGGUGAAAUUCGUAGAUAUUCGCAAGAACACCAGUGGCGAAGGCGGCUUACUGGUCCGGUACUGACGCUGAGGUGCGAAAGCGUGGGGAGCAAACAGG
rnacentral:rRNA from 1 species